rnacentral:rRNA from 1 species
CCUACGGGAGGCAGCAGUGAGGAAUAUUGGUCAAUGGGCUUACGCCUGAACCAGCCAAGUCGCGUGAGGGAAGACUGCCCUAUGGGUUGUAAACCUCUUUUGUCAGGGAGCAAUUGGCGCUACGUGUAGCGUUAUCGAGAGUACCUGAAGAAAAAGCAUCGGCUAACUCCGUGCCAGCAGCCGCGGUAAUACGGAGGAUGCGAGCGUUAUCCGGAUUUAUUGGGUUUAAAGGGUGCGUAGGCGGAAUGCCAAGUCAGCGGUAAAAUCGCGGGGCUCAACCUCGCUCCGCCGUUGAAACUGGCGGUCUUGAGUGGGCGAGAAGUAUGCGGAAUGCGUGGUGUAGCGGUGAAAUGCAUAGAGAUCACGCAGAACUCCGAUUGCGAAGGCAGCAUACCGGCGCCCAACUGACGCUGAAGCACGAAAGCGUGGGUAUCGAACAGGAUUAGAUACCCUUGUAGUC